CUUUGGGCUGCAAAAGACACCGGGCGUGUGGAGGCAGUCGUUGGGCCAUACAAAUUGUAUGACUCUUCUUUUCGCACACUGGAGGACAGUGGGUGGCUUUCUGAUGAGGUCAUUGAUGCAUACCUGCACUGCCUCAUUAGGAAACAAAAGAAACCCGUGUAUCAGUUGUCUUGCAAUGUUGCAACCUCUCUAUUUUCUGGGAAGUUUAAAUGUGUCAGCAAGAUGUUGUUUCCGGCUGAGGACAUUUGGUUGUGCCCACUGAACUUGGUGCACACUGGAUCCUUGUGGUUGUCAAAAUCUCCUCACGAUCUGUACUGCUGUUAGACCCUUUGGAAAUGAAGGUUGUUAUGAAAGGAAAAUUAUGCGUAACUGGAGGAAUUUUCUGAAGAUGAAAGGAAAGGAAGAGUCCCGAGUGGAUUGGAAAAUGGAGACUCUGCCACACAACAAGCAGAUGGACUCCAGCAGUUGUGGAGUUUUAGUGUUGAAGUUUGCCGAACACUACCUUAUGAGUGGAGAGGUUACUAGGGUGCUGUCCACUCCAGAAGCCAUUGGGCCGCAACGCACAGAAAUUGCUUGCGAACUGCUAGAACAUCAAAGUAAUGCUGAUGACUACUGUGUGGUUUGUUCCAUGCUGGAAGCCGAUCCUGAGUCCAGUAUGAUUGAAAUGGUGCAGUGUGAGUUUUGUCUCAGAUGGGCACAUUUUGGAUGUGCUCAAUAUGAGAGCAGCCUGGUCAAGUACUUGUGCGACAAAUGUGCAUAAUUUGUUAUGAAUACUGUUUCUUUUCCACUUCUUUCGCCCUGUGUUCUGUAGGAUCUGUAAAUAUCAAAUAUAUAUGUAUCUGUAAAUAUAUGCUGUCAGUCACAGUAAAGUACAAAGAGCAGCC
ensembl:lncRNA